CAAAACUGAAAUGGGGCUUACUUGAAUUCCUAUUUUUGCUGGUGAUAUUAUUGUUGAGAUGCGAAGUAGUGGGAGACAAAAAGCAUGAGAGAGUUGAGAUAUGUACAAAAGAGAUUAGAAAGAAAAAAAGGAGAAAAUUGAUCUUUGGCUCUGAGAGCACUUACAAGUGGGGCUCGUCGAGCGAGCGCGUGCGACCCCCACACUGCUACCGAGGGGGGAGGGGCGCACCGCAGUGCUUUUCCGUGAGCUGGGUGUGGAAGAGAGGAGAAAGAGGUGAGUGUAAACAUUGCCGAAGACAUGACGCAAGCAAGAUUGUGAAGUGAAAUUCAAUCUACUGCAAGUCUCGGUGGCUCAAAUGGAGGGGCCCACCUAGAAGCCGGAGAUGCUAGCUUGCGACUGUGGAUGCUCUAAGAUAUACAUCCACUUUUAGCAAGAUGAAAGUUUCUUUAUUGUUAAUUUAGCUUACAAAUAUUGUUUAGUAAUAUUUUCCGAGAUUUAAUAUAAUAUUUUUUUCUCCC